UACGUAGGGGGCAAGCGUUAUCCGGAUUUACUGGGUGUAAAGGGAGCGUAGACGGCAUGGCAAGCCAGAUGUGAAAGCCCGGGGCUCAACCCCGGGACUGCAUUUGGAACUGUCAGGCUAGAGUGUCGGAGAGGAAAGCGGAAUUCCUAGUGUAGCGGUGAAAUGCGUAGAUAUUAGGAGGAACACCAGUGGCGAAGGCGGCUUUCUGGACGAUGACUGACGUUAAGGCUCGAAAGCGUGGGGAGCAAACAGG
rnacentral:rRNA from 1 species